rnacentral:rRNA from 1 species
GAAGUUAAAAGUGUAACAAGGUCUCCGUUGGUGAACCAGCGGAGGGAUCAUUACCGAGUUUACAACUCCCAAACCCCUGUGAACAUACCACUUGUUGCCUCGGCGGAUCAGCCCGCUCCCGGUAAAACGGGACGGCCCGCCAGAGGACCCCUAAACUCUGUUUCUAUAUGUAACUUCUGAGUAAAACCAUAAAUAAAUCAAAACUUUCAACAACGGAUCUCUUGGUUCUGGCAUCGAUGAAGAACGCAGCAAAAUGCGAUAAGUAAUGUGAAUUGCAGAAUUCAGUGAAUCAUCGAAUCUUUGAACGCACAUUGCGCCCGCCAGUAUUCUGGCGGGCAUGCCUGUUCGAGCGUCAUUUCAACCCUCAAGCACAGCUUGGUGUUGGGACUCGCGUUAAUUCGCGUUCCCCAAAUUGAUUGGCGGUCACGUCGAGCUUCCAUAGCGUAGUAGUAAAACCCUCGUUACUGGUAAUCGUCGCGGCCACGCCGUUAAACCCCAACUUCUGAAUGUUGACCUCGGAUCAGGUAGGAAUACCCGCUGAACUUAAGCAUAUC